AGGGCACCACCAGGAGUGGAGCCUGCGGCUUAAUUUGACUCAACACGGGAAAACUCACCCGGCCCGGACACUGGAAGGAUUGACAGAUUGAGAGCUCUUUCUUGAUUCAGUGGGUGGUGGUGCAUGGCCGUUCUUAGUUGGUGGAGUGAUUUGUCUGGUUAAUUCCGAUAACGAACGAGACUCUGGCCUAUUAAAUAGAUCACCGGCUUAUUACGCCGGUGAGACUUCUUAGAGGGACAGGCGGCGAUUCAGCCGCACGAAACAGAGCAAUAACAGGUCUGUGAUGCCCUUAGAUGUCCGGGGCCGCACGCGCGCUACACUGAAGUGAUCAGCGUGCUUGAAAAUCCUGCCCUGUCAAGGGUGGGUAACCCAAUGAACCUUCUUCGUGAUUGGGAUAGGAGAUUGUAAUUAUUCUCCUUGAACGAGGAAUUCCCAGUAAGCGUGAGUCAUCAGCUCGCGUUGAUUACGUCCCUGCCUCUUGUUCACACCGCCCGUCGCUACUACCGAUUGAAUGAUUUA
rnacentral:rRNA from 1 species